UGUCUAUUGAAUGCAACUUUUU
rnacentral:snRNA from 1 species